UUAUUAAUACUUUUCUAAGAUUAGUUUUUUUUUCAAGUCCUUUUAUGUUGUAAAGCUUUGUAUUUUAAGUUCACUUAACAGACUAUAACUACAAUGUAGUUGAAGCAUAAGUUUUGGUUAGGUGGGUCAACUUUUAGCAUUUGUAUGUGGCACUAAUUUACAACAAAGCUAAACUAAGUAAAUUGAGACUGAAUUUGGAACUAACCAUGAUUUCUUCAAAUGACUAGUAUAUUAUUUGUUGCUUAUCUCAUUUUAGAUUGAAAUGCCUAGUAUAUUAUUUGUCUCUUUACAGGCUAUAGCAUUAACGGUGGUAUCUAUCGAUGUUGCUGUGGCUACGGUGACUGAUCUGCAAUUCCAUUUUUUUGGUGCAUGUGUGGCAUUGGCAUGGAUUGUACCAAGUGCUGUAAAUAAAAUCCUCUAGUCUCGACUGCAGCAGCAAGAGAACUAGACAGCUUUGUCGUGAUCUGAUGUGGAAAAAAACACCUAUUACGUUGAUUUUCCUGGCUGCUAUGAUGCCCUGCUUAGACCUUCCGGGUGUCCUCUCCUUUCAUUGGAACUUCAGAAACACACCCGUGAUUUUUGGCUCGGCAAUUCUUGGAUUCUUGCUUCAGCGGUCUGGUGCUUUAGCAUUAGGGUAAGUGAAUGUUCUAUUGAUUAGUGAUGAGCUCUUGCUGUGUUUCUGUUUUAAUUUGUAAACAAGAAAAUUGGAUGAUUAUUGAAUGUUUUCUGCUGUUUUA